rnacentral:rRNA from 1 species
UAAUACAGAGGGGGCAAGCGUUGUUCGGAAUUACUGGGCGUAAAGGGCGCGUAGGCGGCCUGUUAAGUCAGACGUGAAAUCCCUCGGCUCAACCGGGGAACUGCGUCUGAUACUGGCGGGCUUGAAUUCGGGAGAGGGAUGUGGAAUUCCAGGUGUAGCGGUGAAAUGCGUAGAUAUCUGGAGGAACACCGGUGGCGAAGGCGGCAUCCUGGACCGACAUUGACGCUGAGGCGCGAAAGCCAGGGGAGCAAACGGG